rnacentral:rRNA from 1 species
GCGACCCCAGGUCAGGCGGKUACACCCGCUGAGUUUAAGCAUAUCAAUAAGCGGAGGAGAAGAAACUUACAAGGAUUCCCCUAGUAACGGCGAGCGAACCGGGACAAGCCCAGCAUGGGAAUCGGACGGCGUUGUCGUUCGAAUUGUAGUCUGUAGAAGCGUCCUCAGCGACGGACCGGGUCCAAGUCCCCUGGAAGGGGGCGCCAGAGAGGGUGAGAGCCCCGUCGUGCUCGKACCCUGUCGCACCACGAGGCGCUGUCGGCGAGUCGGGUUGUUUGGGAAUGCAGCCCUAAUUGGGCGGUAAAUUCCGUCCAAGGCUAAAUACUGGCGAGAGACCGAUAGCGAACAAGUACCGCGAGGGAAAGAUGAAAAGGACUUUGAAAAGAGAGUCAAAGAGUGCUUGAAAUUGUCGGGAGGGAAGCGAAUGGGGGUCGGCGAUAUGCCUCGGUCGGAUGCGGAACGGUGACGAGCCGGUCCGCCGCUCGACUCGGGGCGUUGACCGACGCGGAUUGCGGCGGCGGYCCAAGCCCGGGCUGUAGUCAUGCUUGUGGAGACGUCGUUGCCGCGAUCGUGGUGAGAAGUGCGCACCUUUUAGGCGUGCCUCUGGCAUCUGCGGACUCUCGGCGUCGGUCUGUGGGCUCCCCAUUCGGCCCGUCUUGAAACACGGACCAAGGAGUCUGACAUGUGUGCGAGUCAACGGGCGAGUAAACCCGUAAGGCGCAAGGAAGCUGAUUGGCGGGAUCCCCUAGUGGGUUGCACCGCCGACCGACC